rnacentral:tRNA from 1 species
AAAAUCCGUCGACUUUAAAAAUCGUGAGGGUUCAAGUCCCUCUAUCCCCAAAUAAACUAGUUGACUCCCCAACUAAACUAUCUAUUUAUCUAUCCUU